rnacentral:lncRNA from 1 species
UGAGAGAGAGGGUCACAGUUGGUACGCAGACAGUUGGAGAGAGAUAGGUCAAGGCACAGACACCGGUCUCAUGAGCAGAACAGGGCAACUGGUCAGGAAUGCUGGUUUUGGCUUGUGGGAAGUCACCAACGUUAAGCCUCACAGCAGGGUGAGCUGAGCCCCUGUGUGCGGGGCUGCAAUGUAGAAAGAGCGCCCAGACAACUUUAUCACUAAUAAGGGGCAAGAAGAAACUGAAGAGGCAACUCAAGGGGCCGCUGAGAAUUCCACGAUGGGGCAAACUCAUUGAGACCUCGUUCGGAGAGCGCGGGGAGCAAGCAGAGAAGAGGCAUCAUGGCUUGUGCCCACGAGAAAUGCCAGAAAACGGCAGAUUUCUGUCCUCAGGGAAAGGCCUGGCAGCGUCUUGAGCAGGCAAAUCCAGGAGAGUAAGUUAAGUAAAUCCUGGAGCUGGUUCGCUAACGUCACCAGUCAGCCAGCAGAGCGCUGUGGAUCUACCAGCACAGGGUGGAGUGGAGGAGCUGACAGAGUCCCUGAGGCCUCGUAUCCUGGGAGCAGAGAGCUGGCUAGAGCUGGACCUGGAGACACCUGUGCCCCCCACCGCCAAUAUCCCUGCAGGGGAGACUAGGGAAGUGGCCAGCUUCCAGAAGCAUCAGAGAUUAAUGGCUGGAAUCCACCUCCAACCUUUGUGCAUGACCUGCUUGAAAGCACGUCUUGAGGUCCCUUAGGCUCAGCGUCCAUGCUCUAUGUGUGUGAGCCAGGCAGAGAGCUGCGUGGAACCAGGGGUGCUUGGGUUCCCACCUCAGGAUCCACGAAUGGCCUCCAAACUCAAGAGUUCUGGGGGUGAGGGUAGGGGUGGGGGUGGGGGUGGGGCAUGUCCUGUGGCUUUGCCACUUGCUAGCUGUGUCAUUUUGGGAACCUGGCCUAAAUCGUUGUACCCCAGUCCUCUCUUUUCUGUCAUAUGGUGAUAAUGGUCCCGAUCGGAUACCUGGGAAGCUUUAAAGAGGUUUCUUGUAGAAACGAUUCAUUCAAACAGGCUUCCUUUUAG